rnacentral:antisense_RNA from 1 species
AGGAUUAUGUCUGCUGUUUACCCCGUGGGAUGCAGACAGAGACCACGAAGUUACAGAGCCCUCUCCAUCUUCACUCCCCCGUUCAGGGCUCCUGGCUGAGUCCCGACUGUGUGUGAAGUCACGCCCUCUGAAGAGGAGCAUUCGCAUCCACAUCUGACCCCCUAUUUUUAAUGGGACAAAUGGAUUCCUUGAAUGAGCCCUUUCUACCAUCCAAGUGUGGGCCAAGACUUCCGCCCAGGCCUCCUGAUUCCCACAGACACAGCAAUAUUAAGAUUAGGUCAUUUUUCUUUUCUUUUUCUUUUUCUUUUUUUUGACUGAGUCUUGCUCUGUCAUCCAGGAUAGAGUGCAGUGGCACAAUCUUGGCUCACUG